UCAAAGAGGUACAUGUAUAUUAGGAUAUGUUGUUCCUUGCAAGGACUCUAUUGAUACUAUUUCCAGUGUUUUGUCUUGUCCAAGGAACGAAGAUGAAUACAACAACGCUGUAAAACGGAGGAGGUGCCAAGCUAAGCCACAUUCCUGUGCGUCUUUUCAAUAUCACUGUGUUUUAAAUGACUGGAUGAAUGAUACAAUAGAAGUGUGUGCUCCAUCUUUGUUAAUUGUUGGUGGGAUAUGUACUAAAUUUAGUUGGAAUGAAAUGAGUAUUCGUGGAAAUUUUUUGACUAACUGUAAAACAUUCAAUGUACCAUGUCCACUGGCAUACAGAUCAACCACAUCAUAUAAAUAUUCAGACUGCUAUUUUAACAUACGAAAAGUGCUCUCAUCAGAGAAAAGAAAUUGUACAUCUCGUGAUGG